AGUGAACGCUGGCGGUAGGCCUAGCACAUGCAAGUCGAACGGCAGCACAGUAAGAGCUUGCUCUUACGGUUGGCGAGUGGCGGACGGGUGAGGAAUACAUCGGAAUCUACUUUUUCGUGGGGGAUAACGUAGGGAAACUUACGCUAAUACCGCAUACGACCUACGGGUGAAAGCAGGGGAUCUUCGGACCUUUCGCGAUUGAAUGAGCCGAUGUCGGAUUAGCUAGUUGGGGGGGUAAAGGCCCACCAAGGCGACGAUCCGUAGCUGGUCUGAGAGGAUGAUCAGCCACACUGGAACUGAGACACGGUCCAGACUCCUACGGGAGGCAGCAGUGGGGAAUAUUGGACAAUGGGCGCAAGCCUGAUCCAGCCAUACCGCGUGGGUGAAGAAGGCCUUCGGGUUGUAAAGCCCUUUUGUUGGGAAAGAAAAGCAGCAGGUUAAUACCCCGCUGUUCUGACGGUACCCAAAGAAUAAGCACCGGCUAACUUCGUG
rnacentral:rRNA from 1 species